rnacentral:rRNA from 1 species
GAUGAACGCUGGCGGCGUGCCUAAUACAUGCAAGUCGAGCGAACGGACGAGAAGCUUGCUUCUCUGAUGUUAGCGGCGGACGGGUGAGUAACACGUGGAUAACCUACCUAUAAGACUGGGAUAACUUCGGGAAACCGGAGCUAAUACCGGAUGAUAUUUUGAACCGCAUGGUUCAAAAGUGAAAGACGGUCUUGCUGUCACUUAUAGAUGGAUCCGCGCUGCAUUAGCUAGUUGGUAAGGUAACGGCUUACCAAGGCAACGAUGCAUAGCCGACCUGAGAGGGUGAUCGGCCACACUGGAACUGAGACACGGUCCAGACGCCUAGGGGAGGCAGCAGUAGGGAAUCUUCCGCAAUGGGCGAAAGCCGGACGGAGCAACGCCGCGUGAGUGAUGAAGGUCUUCGGAUCGUAAAACUCUGUUAUUAGGGAAGAACAUAUGUGUAAGUAACUGUGCACAUCUUGACGGUACCUAAUAAGAAAGCCACGGCUAACUACGUG